CCUACGGGCGGCAGCAGUAGGGAAUCUUCCACAAUGGGCGAAAGCCUGAUGGAGCAACGCCGCGUGGGUGAAGAAGGUCUUCGGAUCGUAAAACCCUGUUGUUAGAGAAGAAAGUGCGUGAGAGUAACUGUUCACGUUUCGACGGUAUCUAACCAGAAAGCCACGGCUAACUACGUGCCAGCAGCCGCGGUAAUACGUAGGUGGCAAGCGUUAUCCGGAUUGAUUGGGCGUAAAGGGAACGCAGGCGGUCUUGUAAGUCUGAUGUGAAAGCCUUCGGCUUAACCGGAGUAGUGCAUUGGAAACUGGGAGACUUGAGUGCAGAAGAGGAGAGUGGAACUCCAUGUGUAGCGGUGAAAUGCGUAGAGAUAUGGAAGAACACCAGUGGCGAAAGCGGCUCUCUGGUCUGUAACUGACGCUGAGGUUCGAAAGCGUGGGUAGCAAACAGGAUUAGAUACCCCAGUAGUC
rnacentral:rRNA from 1 species